rnacentral:rRNA from 1 species
UUAUUGAGAGUUUGAUCCUGGCUCAGGACAAACGCUGGCGGCGUGCCUAACACAUGCAAGUCGAACGGAGACAGUAGCAAUACUGUCUUAGUGGCGGACGGGUGAGUAAUGCGUGAGCAAUCUGCCUUUCAGAGGGGGACAACAGCUGGAAACGGCUGCUAAUACCGCAUAAUGUAUAACGGGGGCAUCCCCGAUAUACCAAAGAUUUUAUCGCUGAAAGAUGAGCUCGCGUCUGAUUAGUUAGUUGGUGGGGUAACGGCCUACCAAGACCGCGAUCAGUAGCCGGACUGAGAGGUUGAACGGCCACAUUGGGACUGAGAUACGGCCAAGACUCCUACGGG